rnacentral:rRNA from 1 species
UUUAGUUAAAAAUUAAAAUUUUAAUAUUAUUAUAAAAGUAAUUUUAAUUAUAAAUAUUUUAAAUGGGGGUUUAAGUAUAUUUAUAAGAAAAAAUUAAUUAUUUUAUACGUAAAUUAGUAUUGUAAAAUAAAUUUGAAAUAUUUUUAAAAUAAAUUAUUUUAUAAAUAAUUUUUAUUUAAUGUAUUUUGUGUAUCAAAGUUUAUUAAAAUUAUUUUAAAUUUUUAAAAUUCUCGAAUUUAAAAGAGCUAAUUAUUUAUAAAAUUUAAUGUAGCAAAAUUAUUUUUUAUAAAUAAUUUGUAAUGAAAUGUUAAUCGUUUUUAAAUAUAUCUAGUUUUUUUAGAAAAAAAUUUAAUUUUAAAAUUAUUUUAAAAAUUUAAUUUUUAUUUAUUAAAUUUUAAUUUAAUUUUUAUAUUUUAAGGGAUAAGCUUUAAAUUAAAUUUUUAAAUAUAAUAAUUUAAAUUAAUUAAAAAUUUUAUAAUUUAUAUUGUUAAUAAAAUUUUAUUUAUAAUAAAUAAUUUUAAUUUAAUUAAAAUUUAAUUAUUUUAUUAAUUUUUUAUAAAAAUUUUAUUAAAAAUUUUAAUUAAUAAGUAAUAAUGAUAAAAUUAGUAUAUUUUUAUUUAAAUUUAUUAUUAAAAUAAAUUUUAAUUUAAUUUAAAGAAUUCGACAAAAAUUUAUAUUCACUUGUUUAUUAAAAACAUGUCUUUUUGCAAUAAUUUAAAGUCUAAUCUGCCCACUGAUAUUUAAUAUUUAAAGGCUGCAGUAUAUUAACUGUACAAAGGUAGCAUAAUCAAUAGUCUUUUAAUUGAUGACUUGAAUGAAUGAUUUGAUGAAAUAUAAAGUGUUUCAAAUUAAUAUAAUUGAAUUUAAUUUUUUAUUUAAAAAGAUAAAGUUUUUUUAAAAGACGAGAAGACCCUAUAGAGUUUUAUUAAUAUAUAAAUUUUAAUUUUUUAUAAAUUUUUAAUUUAAAUUUAUGUCUUAAUUUUAUUGGGGUGAUAAAAAAAUUAAAUAAACUUUUUUAAAAAUUUACUUAAUAAAAGAAUAUUUGAUCCAUAAUUUUUGAUUAAAAGAUAAAAUUACCUUAGGGAUAACAGCGUAAUUUUUUUUUUUAGUUCACAUAAAAAUAAAAGUUUGCGACCUCGAUGUUGGAUUAAGAUAAAAUUUAAAUGGAAAAGUUUAAAAUUUUGAUCUGUUCGAUCAUUAAAAUCUUACAUGAUCUGAGUUUAAACCGGUUUAAGCCAGGUUGGUUUCUAUCUUUAAAUAUAUUUUUUUAAUAUUUUUGUACGAAAGGAUCAUUUAUUAUAAAUAAUUUAAUAAAAAUGAAUGUUAUUAAUUUUCUUUAAAUUAUA